rnacentral:tRNA from 1 species
CUUUUGGUGGUGUAGUGGCAAUGCGCCUGUCUAGUGAGUAGGAGUUGUGAGUUCCAGUCUCACCAAGAGGA